rnacentral:misc_RNA from 1 species
AUUUUUUUUCUUUUCCUCCAUUUUUUUUUUCUCUUCCUUCCAUUCACUUCAAUCCAAACAAAGGAUAAGUGAAUCUUUAUCUUCUAAAAAUAAUCUUUUAUUUUUAUUUUUGUGAAAUUUUAAAUUUUUUUUAUCCAAUUUAAAUGGAAUUUAGCUGUUAAUGUGAGAUAAAAUGACGAUACUACCCUUUGCCAAUGUAAA